GAUGAACGCUAGCGAUAGGCUUAACACAUGCAAGUCGAGGGGCAUCGAGGGUAGCAAUAACCUGUCGGCGACCGGCGCACGGGUGAGUAACGCGUAUGUAACCUGCCCGCAACAGAGGGAUAACCCGGCGAAAGUCGGACUAAUACCUCAUAAAACAGGGGUUCCGCAUGGGGCUAUUUGUUAAAGAUUUAUUGGUUGCGGAUGGGCAUGCGUACCAUUAGGUAGUUGGUGAGGUAACGGCUCACCAAGCCAUCGAUGGUUAGGGGUUCUGAGAGGAAGGUCCCCCACACUGGUACUGAGACACGGACCAGACUCCUACGGGAGGCAGCAGUGAGGAAUAUUGGUCAAUGGGCGAGAGCCUGAACCAGCCAAGUCGCGUGAAGGAUGACUGCCCUAUGGGUUGUAAACUUCUUUUACAGGGGAAUAAAAUGAGA
rnacentral:rRNA from 1 species